rnacentral:rRNA from 1 species
AUUGAACGCUGGCGGUAUGCUUAACACAUGCAAGUCGAACGGCAGCAUGGUCUAGCUUGCUAGACUGAUGGCGAGUGGCGGACGGGUGAGUAACGCGUAGGAAUAUGCUUUGAAGAGUGGGACAACUUGGGGAAACUCAAGCUAAUAGCGCAUGUACUCGAGAGAGUAAAGCUGGGGACCUUUAGGCCUGGCGCUUUAAGAUUAGCCUGCGUCCGAUUAGCUAGUUGGUAGGGUAAAGGCCUACCAAGGCGACGAUCGGUAGCUGGUCUGAGAGGAUGAUCGGCCACACUGGAACUGCGAGACGGUCCAGACUCCUACGGGAGGCAGCAGUGGGGAAGAUUGGACAAUGGGGGGAACCCUGAUCCAGCAAUGCCGCGUGUGUGAAGAAGGCCUGAGGGUUGUAAAGCACUUUCAGUGGGGAGGAGGUUUGGAAGGUUAAGAGCUAUUCAAAUGGACGUUACCCACAGAAGAAGCACCGGCUAACUCCGUGCCAGCCGCCGCGGUAA